rnacentral:rRNA from 1 species
UACGUAGGGUCCGAGCGUUGUCCGGAAUUACUGGGCGUAAAGAGCUCGUAGGUGGUUUGUCGCGUUGUUCGUGAAAACUCACAGCUCAACUGUGGGCGUGCGGGCGAUACGGGCAGACUUGAGUACUGCAGGGGAGACUGGAAUUCCUGUUGUAGCGGUGGAAUGCGCAGAUAUCAGGAGGAACACCGGUGGCGAAGGCGGGUCUCUGGGCAGUAACUGACGCUGAGGAGCGAAAGCGUGGGGAGCGAACAGG